UAUGGGGGGAGCAAGCGUUGUUCGGAUUUACUGGGCGUAAAGGGCGCGUAGGCGGUCAGCACAAGUCAGUUGUGAAAUCUCCGAGCUUAACUCGGAAAGGUCAACUGAUACUGUGCGACUAGAGUGCAGAAGGGGCAACUGGAAUUCUUGGUGUAGCGGUGAAAUGCGUAGAUAUCAAGAGGAACACCUGCGGCGAAGGCGGGUUGCUGGGCUGACACUGACGCUGAAGCGCGAAAGCCAGGGGAGCGAACGGG
rnacentral:rRNA from 1 species